UUCUUCCUUAUAGACAACUCCUUUUAUUUCCUGGUCUGCCAUCUCGGGAGGGUGGGUGAGACCAAAUCUGUUAUAUCAGUGUCUAGUGGAGCCUAAGCCGAUUCAGGCCAAGACAUUUGGCCGCUUUGAAUGGAUGUUUUGGAAGAUUUUUGAAACUCCAAUCCAGAGGACCACAGAAAGCACAUUUGGACAUGACUGUCGCCUGGAAAAGAAACUGUCAAAAGAGCCGGGACCAGGCUGGGCUGGACACACAUAAUAGACACAGAAUAUCCUGGACGCUGAUCUUGGGCCAGUCCGUAUUUCUGUAAUUGUUCUGCUGUUCACAAAGAGCAAGACCAUGGCCUUAGGAGGGGGGUAAAUUCCGCCAAAGGAAAGUUCCCCUGCCAGUCAUCCGGGAAGAAGACUGUCCUGGGGCAGAAAAUGAGGACUCAGGAUGUGGGCCUUUGGGUUGGUAGAGAAGUUUGUUCUCUCUUUCUCUUUCUUUCUGUCUUAAGAAAGUGGAGUCUACCCUAUGAGGGAAGACAUGCUCCCAGCCACCCCAGAGGUGGCCUGCGCUGGACCCUGCCAUGUGGAGCAAGCUGGGGCUGGUCAGGUAGGUGGCCCUGGGUACCAGCCUGGGAUCUGUGGGCCCUGAGGACAACCACAUUGAUCAAAGUUGUGGGUAUGGCCGUGUUUUACUCUCCUUCCACGAUCCCCAAAUUUUGUCAGCUCCUGCUAGAAGCUGUGCCUGGGUUCUGUUAAGUAUGAUGCUUUGAGAACAGGGCCCCAGACAUGUUUGGGUAUGAGUGGCUAAGAGGACUCCCCAGUGGUGUGCUCAGUGGUGGCCGCUACUACAGAGGAUGGCCAUGUCUGGCAGGGUGGGUGUCACAGAGGGUGUGGGGACCUACCGAGGAAGCUGGAGGGGAAGAACAUAAAGGGCAAGCUCUGGGGCUGGCACAACCCAGCAGGAGGGGCUCUCCGAACUAGUGCGGGACACGCUGCAGGGGCUGAGUGCCCGUGGGGGCCAGUAGGGUUCAAAGAAAAACGUAAUUUGAGUAUUUAACGGCGAUAAGAUGGUUUAUUAUCAUUGGUGGGGGAAGCCUGAACAUAACCAUUCUAUUAGAAUUCUAUUAGUAAUAAAAAU
rnacentral:lncRNA from 1 species